rnacentral:lncRNA from 1 species
UUAGAGGUUUUUAGAAAUAGAAGGGGAUAUUGAAAAUAAGGAAAAAGACGUGUAUUUCAGUAAUUUUUUCUAAAAAAACUGAAUUUUUUUUGGGCUUUAGGCUCAAUUUCACCUGUCUUAAACUAACAAGAUAACAAUCAACAUAAAAGAUGGGCCUUCUUUGGCCCAAUAAUUACAAAAUAAAGCUGAGAAUUUAAAGAAAACUUUUGGCCCAUUUCUGCUGCAUAUGAGGGUUGUAUCACACUGUAUAUCGGUGCAUAUGCAGCGUAUUUUCAGCUCCAAAACCUGUUCUUUGAUUUUUAUGGCUGUCUGACUCGAAAAAGGUGGAAUUAGGCCUCUGUGGCCCAAUAAGAAGAUGCAAGGAAGAGGGGAUUUGAGUCCCAUUUGGACUCCGGACAGAUCCACAUACAACAUAGAAAAAUAAGAAACAUAUUAGCGUAAUGCAAAAAUUCUCUCAACGAAAGUUAACUUCAAUUUAAAACACAUAGUUACAUAAUCCAAAUAAUAUUUUAACAUAAUGACACAUGUAAAUAUUAUAUAUGAAUUAUGCUCACAUUUUGACCAAUCCCAACAGUAGCUUUGACAAACAUUUAACCACUUAUAUAAAUGUCUUCAAGAGGGUCAACAAUUUAACUAAUUCAUGGCAAAAGUUAAGGACCAAACCCACAUUAAUCAGAACAUCUCAAGUGAAAAAGAAAACAAUGCGGUUUAAAUUACUAUGCAUAUGAAACACCCAAACUCGUUCUUUACUAGAUAGAGGCGAUACUUGCGAUUACUUAAAAGAGUCACUAUAAUUUGUACAAACCACUCCAUAACAUAAUAGAGAAAAACAAGAUGGCCAUUAUAAAUUCAAGUAACAGUAACACAAGGCUAUCUAUCGCCAUAAUAAAAAUCAAUCAAGCAUAAAAUUACAACAAUUAACGCUAUACCCAGCUAAUUCUUUCAUCCUAUUUCAAGAAAUCUGGAAACAAAACUCAUGCUAAUCUAGUGCUCCAUUAACAGAAAGUGGACCCUUUUUAAAUCAAGAAACAUGAGCUAAACUUAGACUAAGAUUACAAGAUCAUAAUCAGUAUUGAAGCUACACUCAUGCUAACAAGAAUCUCUUUACGCAUUCAUGACAAAACAAUCAGCUAACUAGAAUGAAUGAAUGAGUCCUGGCAACAUGUAAUCGUCGAGUACUAAACGAGUCAAACAAUUUCAUACUACGACUACGAGAUGAUCCCAAAUGAUGAAACAGAGGUUUUAAACCUCAGAAACUAGUCUUGCAGGCAGCCCACAACAUAAGAAAAACGAAUCGAAAGUUAAGAGUGUACAAAACAUCAACAUGGAAAACAACACAUCAAACUAAUUUCGAACAUGAUAGCAUGAACAUAUUUGGCAUUCAGAGAGAGAGUACUAUCAGUGUACAGCCCAUACUAGUAUAAUCUAAGAGAUAUGAAACCUUUUCUAAAUAAAGAAUGAAAUUUUAACGGAAAUAGAUACUUGAACGAGAUCAUAAUAGGACACAUAAAAGUCGAGAAGUAAGAAAGCAACAAAACGAAAUAAGGAAGAGAUUCUCAC